UCCUACAAACCAGCAAUUCUACCUUGAGGUUUAUACUUCAGAGAAUUUCUUGCACCUGUCUAUAAGAAGAAAAUGGAUAAACUAUACUGUAGGCAUACUACAGAAUACCAUAUAGCAAUGAAAAGAAAUUAACUGGCUCAGACUAUGUAGAUCUACAUGAAUAGUUAUCAAAAAAAAAAAAAGGUUAAGUGAAAAAAAAUCAAGUUAAAGAAUGAUGGGUACAUCAUGCUGUCACUGAAACCAAAUGGGGUCUGUUUGCCCAUGUGCAGUGGAAAGCCAACACCGAAGCACUGGGUUUUUGCUGUGAGAAAGGUUAAUCGCAAGUCCACUGGCCACAUGAGAGGAGGAAAUGCUCAAAUGUCUCCCUGAGCUGGGGGUGGGUCAGAUUUUAAAAUGGGUAAUAAGGCAUGAUCUGAUUGGAUCUGGCAGUGAGGUGAGGCCAGGACGCAUGCUCUGGCUGGAUCCUGCCAUGCUGUGUCUGCUGCUUCUUAAUUCAGUCCUGCUCCUUCAUCCCAGCACUUAGGUUCCCCUUGUGGUUGCACAUUUGGUUCAUCUGGGCAUGCUCAGAUUAUGUGCCCUUUAACCUGGGGGUCCAUGGCAACUGAAAAACAACUCACAACUUUGUCACAUAAAAGUUGAACCAGUUGGUCUGAUGUGCUUACAAUGUCAUUCAUAGACAAGAAUUAACAUACAUGUAAAUACCACAUAUUUCCCUGGUUUUAUAGGCGUGUGUGUACAUACAUAUAAAAGGAAAAAGUGGAAAUGGAAGAUUGCACACUAAAUUCAUGACAGUGGUUACAUCUAUGAGGCAGGGAGGGUUGUGAAUUAUAGGUAAGGAUGCUCAAUAAAGGGAAUUUGACUAUAAUUCUAUUAGUUUUCUUAAAAAAUGAAACAAAUACAAAAAUGAUAACAACUGUCAAUUCUGGGUUGAUGAUAUUUGCAUCUUUGUCUUAUUUUUUUUUUCUGUAAUUUAAAAGUUUACCAAACUUAAAAUUAUAAUUAAAACAAAAGCAGACAACUCCAAUCUAACCAUGAGAAAAAUAUCAGAAAAAUAUCCGUUUAAGGAAAGUCUACAAAACACUUGUCGAGGUCAAGAAAGACAAGAAAAGACUGAGAAACUGUCACAGCCAAGAUAGGCCUAAGGAGACAUGGUAAUUAAAUAUAAUAUAUCUUGGAUCCGAUCUUGGAAUAGAAAAAGAGCAAUGAAUAAUAAUUAAGGAAAUCUGAAUGAGGUAUGGAUUUUUGAUAACAGUAACAUAUAAAUAUUAGUACAUUAACUGUUACAAAGGCAGUGUACUAAUAUAAGACAAUAAUAGGGAAAACUGGGUGUAGGGUAUAUGUGAACACUUUGUCCUAUCUUGGCAACUUUUCUUUAAAUCUAAAAUUAUUGUAAGAUAAAAAAGUAUGUAAAAAACGGAAUAGGUAUAGUAUUCUUCCAGUUUCGUGUGAGUGUGUGUGAGUGUACACAAAAAGACAAGCAGAAUAUUUAUCAAAAAUAUCAAUGAUUAGGUCUACAUGGUGGAAGUAUGGGUAGCUUUCCUUUCUCUUUCAUUCUUUUAUUUUUCAAAUUCCUGCCUUCUAAUAUAAGUCAAAUGUGAUAUACUGAUAGUUUUAGCUAUCAGAAACAUUAUCAAGACCUUGGCACCGUUUCUAUCAGCACAUGGUAAUUAUGGGCCCCAUUCUCCUAACACUCACUUCCUAUAUUUGCCCGGGAUGCUUGCUAAAACUGAGUUCUAUACUAAGAAUUUCCAGGGAAGAAACUUGAGAAUUUAUUUUUUAACAAGUCCCUAGGUGAUUUUUGUGUGUGUUUGUGUCUGGUGGCUGUUCAGAUAAGUUUAGGAAACUGACUCAGCUAAUUCUCACUUAAAGCUCAGCUCAGUGUCAGCUCUGCUGUCAAAACUUCUCUGUCCAUCUCAGGCACUUAGAAUCUCCCUUCCCUGUAUCCUCCCUGUACCACACACACAACUCCAUUCCUGCCCUUCUAACAGUGCAGCAUAGUUUUUUCUACAUUUUUCUCUCUGGCUGUUUUGCAUAUCUUUGUGAUCUCAUCGAACAAUAGCAUCUGGUAGGCCCUCAAUAUCCAUUAUUUAGAUAAAUGCAUGGAAGCUUAGAUAGUCAGAUGGGCUGCUUUUAAAUAAAUGGGGUGAUUCUAAGAAUUUCAUCAGCAUCUAUCUUCAAGCCCCUCAAUAAUGGCAUCCCUGGUUGCUUUACAAUAGGUGGGAUCAGCCUCUUUUAUUAUCUCUUUAGAAGGAAGCAUGGGAAUAUUCAAUUUAUUCCAAAAUAUAUUGCUUUACGCUUGGAUAAUGGUCAGAAAAACUGGAAGUAUGAAUAUAUAUUUGAAUCAUCUGGGAAUCUAUUGAAACCCAAACUUGCAUUUGAUGAGUAGUGCUUACCCUGGGCCAGGCCACUCAGUGCUUGAGCUGUGCUAUCUAAGAUGGAGGCUCUAAUCACAUGUGGCCUUUGAAGGCUACAUUUAAAGUAAUUGAAAUCAAUCCAGUUCCUCAGUCAUACAUUUCAAGUACUCAAAGGCCACACGUAGCAGCCACUGUAUUGGAAAGUGAAGACAUAGAACAUUUCCAUCAUCACAGAAAGUUCUAUAGGAGAGUGCUGACCUAGAUGAUUCCUCUUUAUACUUCGAAUCAGAUAGUUCUCUUAUUUAAGGCUUCCCUCAUCCCUCCAAGCCAUAUUCUGUUUGGUUCGCAGUGACAGAAAUGUCCUGGGCACCAGGGAUUCAGAGAUGAAGAAAAUGUCAUUGCUGCCCUGGAACAGCUUAAAGCAGGGACUCUCAACUGGGGCGAUUUUGCUGCCUAGGGGACAUUUGGCAGAGACUUUGUAUUGCCAUUAAUAGUGUGGGGGGUAUGUGUGUGUCUGUGUUCAUGUGUGUGUUGUGUGUGUCUGUGUCAUAUGUGUGUAUGUGUGUGUGUGUAUUACUGGCAGACAGAGGGCAGCGAUCCUGGGUAGAGGGCAGAGAUGAUGCUAAGCAUUCUACAACGCACAAGACGGCUCCCCCUCCCUACCAUCAAAAAUUUGGCCCAAAAUGUCAAUAAUGCCAAAGCUGAGAAACCCUGGCUUGAAGCCUUGUUGGGGAGAGAGACACAGGAGCACAAAGUACCAAUGUCAUGUGGAAAGUGAGCAGAGAGUGGUAGAGCACAGCCGUCGGACUGGGAGGAUUCCCAAGCUGAGUCUGGAAGGAGCUGCAUGCCUAGUCAUUCCUUCUAUGAUCUAAUAAUGCUUUGCCCAUUCCCCUCUGCAACACCUAACACUGUGAUGUAUUUUAACCAUCAGUUUACACAUACUUCUCUCCUGUGAGACUGUGAAUUCUUCAAAAGCAGGUACUGUGUUUAAUGAAGUGUGCCCAGGACUUUGCUCAGUGACUGGAUGACACAGUAGGAGUAACAAGAAAGUUCACAUGGGUGAACCGUGGUAGGUGGACAUCGUCUCUCUCACCUCUUCCCAAAUCAAGGAUGAAGUACAUCUUCAUAAAUCCUCAUGUGAAUUAUUUUGCUACCUCUAGAAGCAUUUUCUAAAACAAGGUGCAGCAAUCAGUUGAGUGAAUUUGUCACCAGAGCUUAUGUUUUCUGAAAGAACCCUAUCCUCAGGCAGUUGUUCCUAAGAGGUGAGUUGUGGAUUUAGUUCACAUACCUUCCUUCGUGGCUUAAAAUGCUCCACAUGCCUGUCUCCCCAACAGCAUCAGAUCACCAUGCAGUAAAAUACCAAGUCAGAACAGCCAAUGCUGAAAAGAGUGACAGUUUCCUUUCAUGAUGCAAUGCACUUGGAGCCAGGGGACAGGGAGACAAUAACUGCAAGGAGAAGUGAUGACAACCCUACUUUAAUAUAGUAGUUCCUUUUGAAUUUUAUAGACUUACCCGUUAAUCUCUAGAAUUUUGAAAAAAUUCCUUAAGUGAUGUGAGCAAAUAACACUUUGCCUUGGGUUAGCCUUUUCCUUUCCCUUGAAGAUUCCACAAAUAUGUCAGCGCUGGAAAUGAUCCUUUGGCUUUGAACUAUGUGAAGACUGCAGAAGGACUGGUUGGUAAGCACCCACAUCCUGGGGUGAGAAUCACAUCCAGUUUAUACCUCCCUGUGCACACUUGUAUAAAACAACUAUAAGACACACGAGAGAUCUGGAAGCCAGUUCCUCAUAAGUAAGAAUUGGUCAGGCUGCAUUUGUAUCCUGGGUCCACAAGACAUCGUUUCCUUAAAACCAAUCCCCCUGAUUUUGCUAAGUGUCUGCAAGCCUAAUAUUUCAUGGAUGUUUGACAAGGACCCCGUCUUUAGCUGAACUAAGGAGAAAGUCCUGCAACACACACAUGGAGCUCAGCAAACGGAGGAUGUAGUAGCCUUGAAGAGGCAAGAUGCUUCAGUUCUACAGCUGCAAGGAAAUCAAUUCUGACAACAACCACGUGUGCUUGGAAGACCACCACCACCAUCACCACCACCACCACCCCCCGCCCCGCCCCUGCCCCUCUGAGCCUCAGAUGGGACGCUAGACCCUCCCUGAUUAUAGUCUGCGAGACACUGAACCUGGACUCCUGGUCUAUGGGAGCUGUUUUAAGUUUUAAGCUGUUAAUUUUUGGUAAUUAGUUAUGCAGCAAAUGGCUGUGUUGUUAUUCCCAUCCCCCUCUUCCCACCUGUCUCCUUUAAAUAAAAACCAGCAUUUCAGGUCUGAACUGUCAUGACUCCAAUCUGCUUGUCAAGAUGGACUCUAAGUAGAGUCAGGUGAAGAGGCCAGGUUAGCUAUAUUCCUUCUUAUUUUCCAUCCUUCAGUCAUGGCCUGAGCCUUUUCCUUCCCUGAAAUCUAAUGAGAAUCACUCCUCAGCUGAUUAUCAUGGACUCGAUGGCUUGUCAUUAAGAAUACCUCAGCCACAGGCAGCAGUGAGAAGAGAAGUGAAGGAGGAGGGGUGUUUAGGAAAUGCCUGGUCCUGAGGGCGGAAGCAGUUUUGAAGUUGCACCUGCUCUGACAGAAAACUCGAGUGUAAGACUUACUGAUGUCAUUCUCCUCAGUUCUUCAUGGACGUAGGACUGUCAUGGGGAAAUUAGGCAAAGAUUCUGCUUUGGCAGGAAGAACUAUGGCUCCCUGCCCACAUCCCUUCGUUCAGCUCCCUCCCCCAUUGGCCAGAAUACACCAAGUUGUCAGCACCAGCCGGCCCGUGGCUAUUCAGAAUGUCUCUGGAAACCAUGAAGGCUAGGAGGCAUGAGAUCUGGGUGCUGGGGCUGGUGAGUCCUCUAGUAACCAACCCAACUGUAAAGAAGUAAUAAUAUAUGGCAUCUGCAUAAUGGUCUACGGCUUCCAACUUGCUUUAAGCUCUAUUUAUCCUUUGGGUCUCUCAUCAGCCCUGGAAGAAAAGCAGUUGUCUUUGUCAGGCCUCUGAGCCCAAGCUGAGCCAUCAUGUCCCCUGUGACCUGCACGUACAC
rnacentral:lncRNA from 1 species